GCCCGCGUGAUGGAAUGGUAGACAUAACGGACUUAAAAUCCGUGGAGCCUCGGCUCUUGCCGGUUCAAGUCCGGCCGCGGGUA
rnacentral:tRNA from 1 species